GCGACCUCGCGAGAGCAAGCGGACCUCAUAAAGUGCGUCGUAGUCCGGAUUGGAGUCUGCAACUCGACUCCAUGAAGUCGGAAUCGCUAGUAAUCGUAGAUCAGAAUGCUACGGUGAAUACGUUCCCGGGCCUUGUACACACCGCCCGUCACACCAUGGGAGUGGGUUGCAAAAGAAGUAGGUAGCUUAACCUUCGGGAGGGCGCUUACCACUUUGUGAUUCAUGACUGGGGUGAAGUCGUAACAAGGUAACCGUAGGGGAACCUGCGGUUGGAUCACCUCCUUA
rnacentral:rRNA from 1 species